GCGGAAUUCUCCACGAGUUUUGAGCAGCCUCGGUUUUCCCACCACCUCCAAAUCAUGCAAGACACAGGGUGCAGGCAGAGCCCCUGGAGCCAUGGCCAGCCCUUCCGGCAGCUCCGAAGCCACUGGCAAGUCCCGAGGCAGAGAUGGCCCGCCCAGGAGGGAGGGGGACGACGUCCCUCCCUAGGAGAAGAGGCUGCGGCUGUUGCUGGAGGGGGAAGCGCACAGCCCGAGGACUGCGAGGACGGGGAGGACGCGCCGCGGCCGGGCAGGGAGGAGACCGGCACCCAGACAGGUGGCGACGGCAGAGGAUUUCUAUGGGAAUACUCUCUUUGAAGAACCCAUGAAGCAGUGUCAGGCUUGGGUGAGGAUCAGCAGUGAUUUCUUUGAGGAGGAGAGCCCGUUUCUUCACUCACAGGCCAUGUCUGAGUGGAUCCAGAAGGACAGAGUGCCCUUUUAUGAGAUUUUGUCUGCGUAGACCAUUAGCUUGGUAAAAAUGUCAAAACCAUCCUCGUUCUUUAAUAGCAGAUUAUUUUGUACUUUUCUCUGCAAGAAGCAGCAUGGGCAUUCAGAUGCUUUUAAGGAUAAAAUGUUCUUUCUCAUCACCAGGCCUGGUGCUCUGGAUGGCUGAGGUUUUAAUGUCACUGGAUGUCCCUUGGAGUGGCUCCCAGACUGUGAUCUUGUGGUUGGGUGGCAAGGGGUUGCUUUAUUCGGUGGUGGCUAGAGGAGGUUUUAGCAGAUAAAUCGGGACCCCAGGAGCCCCUGAGUGCCAAGUCCUGCUACAGGGCAUGUGUUUAUGGUGGGGAUGUGGGGGGGUGGAGGGUGGGGAGCAUUGAUUUCCUGCCAAUAUCAGAAGUUUCACCGGCUUCUUUUGUAUCCACAAACACCCACCCCAUUGAGAAGGCCUAGAAAACCUGGCCCUCCCCAAGCCUUUAUUGACCACUUGUGAAUGAUCCCAGGGUGUGUCUGACCAACAGCUCUUCCUGGAGGGAGAGAAAAGUCUCUCCUAGGUAUCUGGUUAUCAACCCCAACCAUUUGCUGAGCCUUCCCCAGGACCAGGCACCUCGGCGGAGAUUUCUGAGUUGUCAGGCAGAACCGAGCAUUCAAGGGUGAUAACUCACUGGAGUCCCUGAAAUCCCUGAUGGAUGCACCAGGUAAAAGCAUCCAGGGUUGAAACCAGAUCAGGAAGGUUAUUGUCAGCCUGGGACUCCUGUAGAGGUGCAUCCACGUUGCAGGGAUUUUCCUUCUUGCUGAGGAGAAACCUGGGUUUCUCAGCUUUGGCACAGUCACAACAUUUGGGGUCAGACCAUUGGUUGUGGUGGGGGGGCUGUCCUGUGUAUUGUAGGAUGGUUAGCAGCAUCUGUGGUCUCCAUCCUCUAGGUGCCAUUCUACCCUCCCAGCUAUAGCUACCCCAGAUGUCUCCAGAUGGUUUCAAAUGCCGUGGAGCAAGGGAGUGCUGGACUACACAGGCUGAAGCUCUCUCUGCAGAGGUAUAGAUAUUUCCCUGGUGACGAUCUUUCAAGCUGACAUGAAGACAUGGCCACCCACAGGAACAUCGUGUGUCUGCCGUGGCACUCUUUUAAUUUGUGAGGCAGGCUCCUGACGAAUGCAGUGCAACUCAAGGGACAGGAAGGAGAUGAGUUGGAGGCUGGGACAGGGGUCCCUGCCAGGGAUGCUGGUGGCUCAUGUGACGUUGUUGAUGUGUGGAGUCCGGUGCCUGGUUUGGGGAAUGUUGGUGGGAUAUGUUCCAAAGGACUGACGGACCUAUCAGGCGCAGUGGCUCACACCUGUAAUCCCAGCACUUUGGCAGGUCGAGGCUGGCGGAUCAGCUAAGGUCAGGAGUUCGAGACCAACCUGGCCAACAUGGCAGAACUGUCUCUACUAAAAAUACAGAAAUUAGCCAGGUGUGGUGGCACACACCUGUAAUCCCAGCUGCUUGGGAAGCUGAGGCAGGAGAAUCAUUUGAACCUGGGAGACAGAGGUUGCAGUCAGCCGAGAUUGCACCACUGCACUUCAGCCAGCCUGGGUGACAGAGCGAGACUCUUUCAAAAAUAAAUAAAUAAAUAAAAUAGAAUUCUGAAUUUUA
rnacentral:lncRNA from 1 species